GCUGGGGGAACCGAGGGCGGAAAAAGGCGGGGUUGACGGCUCUUGGCUGGGAGUGGGCUGGACCGGACGCCAGAGACAAAAGGCUCUCAAGGCAAGAGGGACUGUGGCGUUGCUCGGGACUCUGACCCCAGGACUUCUCGCCCCGUCGUUGUUUCUCUUCUGACGCGUCUCUCUCUUCCCAAGCCCGCGUCCCCUCACCCGCGACCUCGCUUCUCAGCGGGAGGCCCGCGAUGGAGGUCCCGCCCCGACUCUCCCAUGUGCCGCCGCCAUUGUUCCCCUCCGCUCCCGCUACUUUAGCCUCCCGCAGUCUCUCCCAUUGGCGGCCGCGGGCGCCGCGGCAGCUUGCCCCGCUCCUCCCUUCGCUCGCUCCUAGCUCCGCCCGGCAGGGGGCGCGCCGGGCCCAGCGCCACGUCACCGCCCAGCAACCCUCCCGAUUGGCGGGCGGGGCGGCUAUAAAGGGAGGGCGCAGGCGGCGCCCGGAUCUCUUCCGCCGCCAUUUUAAAUCCAGCUCCAUACAACGCUCCGCCGCCGCUGCUGCCGCGACUCGGUCUGCGCGCCAGCACCCUCCGGCCGACCACUCCGCCGCUAUGGAAGACAUGAACGAGUACAGCAACAUAGAGGAAUUCGCAGAGGGAUCCAAGAUCAACGCGAGCAAGAACCAGCAGGAUGACGGUAAAAUGUUUAUUGGAGGCUUGAGCUGGGAUACAAGCAAGAAAGAUCUGACUGAAUAUUUGUCUCGAUUUGGGGAAGUUGUGGACUGCACGAUUAAAACAGAUCCUGUUACUGGAAGAUCACGAGGAUUUGGAUUUGUGCUUUUCAAGGAUGCUGCUAGUGUGGAUAAGGUUUUGGAACUGAAAGAACACAAACUGGAUGGCAAAUUGAUAGACCCCAAACGGGCCAAAGCUUUAAAGGGGAAGGAACCCCCAAAAAAGGUUUUCGUGGGUGGAUUGAGCCCAGAUACUUCGGAGGAACAAAUUAAAGAAUAUUUUGGAGCCUUUGGAGAGAUUGAAAAUAUUGAACUUCCUAUGGAUACAAAAACAAAUGAAAGAAGAGGGUUUUGCUUUAUUACAUAUACAGACGAGGAGCCAGUAAAGAAAUUGUUAGAAAGCAGAUACCAUCAAAUUGGUUCUGGAAAGUGUGAAAUCAAAGUUGCACAACCCAAAGAGGUAUAUAGACAGCAACAGCAACAACAAAAGGGAGGAAGAGGUGCUGCAGCUGGUGGGCGAGGAGGUACUAGGGGUCGCGGCCGAGGUCAGGGCCAAAACUGGAACCAAGGAUUUAAUAACUAUUAUGAUCAAGGAUAUGGAAAUUACAAUAGUGCCUAUGGUGGUGAUCAAAACUAUAGUGGCUAUGGCGGCUAUGAUUAUACUGGGUAUAACUAUGGGAACUAUGGAUAUGGACAGGGAUAUGCAGACUACAGUGGCCAACAGAGCACUUAUGGCAAGGCAUCUCGAGGGGGUGGCAAUCACCAAAAUAAUUACCAGCCAUAUUAAAAGGGACGCUGGAGAAAACAGCGGGAACUUCAUUGCAGGCCGUGUGUCACCCUGACCACGUCUAUCUCUGGGGGUCGCACGUUGCGGGCAGAGCGCAAGGCAUACACCAGAAAACGCUGUCCUGUGGAAGAGAUUGCUAACGUAACCAUCUUGCAGGAGGACAUUGAAGAUUGGUCUUCUGUUGAUCUAAGAUGAUUAUUUUGUAAAAGACUUUCUAGUGUACAAGACACAAUUUGUGUCCAACUGUAUAUAGCCGCCAAUUAGUUUUCUUUGUUUUUACUUUGUCUUUUGCUAUCUGUGUUAUGACUCUGUGGAUUUGUGUUUAUACAAACUUUAUUUGUAUAAUUACAUGUUAAACCUCAAAUAAAUGCUUCCUUAUGUGAUUGUUUUUCUGCGUCAGGUACUAAAUAGCUCUGUAAAAGUGUAAUUUUAAAUAAGCAAUAAUUAACGCACAGUUUAUUUUGUAGGGAGUUUUGCUCCAUAGGAAGAGGAGAAAACUGUGGUCCUUUAUGAAUAGCCAGCUACAGUGUCUGCUCUGUUCCCCUUUUUUGUUAGAUGUAUUCUAUGCUCUUUAGACUUCAUUUCUGUCUCUUAACUGAGGCUUCCAUCAUAACCUUUAAUGUUGUUUUCCUCUCUGCCUAUCUGGAGACAUUGUCAUGAAAGUUUCUGUGGCAUAAUUAUACUGCUGUGAUUAGUGGGAGCUUUCUAGUAGACCAUGAGUCUGUGGCUAUAUUUUGAAAAAUAAAUGUUUAAUGGCACAAAGCAUGCUGGUAGCUCCUUUUAUGAAGAAAAUGUUUUGCUUUGUUCUUGUCUCCGGAAAAGCAUUUUUUAAUGGUUUGCUGUACUCAGUGGUCUGCUAGAAAGAGCUUUGACUAAUCAUAAUACAAUAACUUUGUUUUCUUGAUUAAAAUGUCCAGAUAUACCCAUUGCGGGGGGGGGGGGGGGGGGGCUAAACUGUGUUAUAGGAGCUACAGGUUAAGAAUAUCAGAUAUAGUUAGAUUUUACACAAUUUUGGCAAAUAGGUAUGAAGUUUGAACAAAAUUUAGAUUACAAGAUUUGAAGUAGUAAACUGAGUAAAUUAAUUGUAUACUAUUCUGUUGGUUUUAUGUCACAGCAAGCACCAAACUGAACAAAAUGUUUUCUCUUGGGGCAUUGUUAGGAAGCUGUACUGGGUGUUAACUGUUACAUGAUGUGAGUUCUUAGAAGGCAUGGGUAGUAGGUUUCAGUCAUUUUUUUAUGUGGUUAGUGCAUGAGCUGAGUAGUUGAGCAUAUUCACAUUCAGACAAAGAAUAAUGGAGAAGGAUGACCCUUGAUUCUUAUGUAAAUGUAAGUCUUCAGUGUGACCAAGUCAUGUCAUUACAACAGAUCUUCCUGGUGCGUUAAAAAGAAAACCUUUUAGCUCUAGAUUUGGGAGGAUAUCCUAGAUAAGUUCAAGUUUUGAAUUUCACAUUCAGUGUAGUUAACUGAGUUUAAUGUUUUCGGUUUUGUUGCUUUGGUUUCAUAUUCGCCAUUAGGAUUGGCAUACAUGUUUACUUGUGGAAUAGUUCACCUCACCUUCAACCAAGUGUAAAUUUUUUUAUGCUAAUGAACCUGCCUCUUGUUUUCUUUGGUGCCUGCAACUUUCUUUAUUCCAGUGAUGUUUGUACUUGAUGGGCUAUCAAGUUAUAAUGCUUUUGGCCUUGUUUUGCUAUUUGACCUUAAACCUAAGCCAAGUAUCACUGUUGGCUGUUGCAAGGGAUUGUUUAUUCUUUCAACGUGCAACCUUAGGGGACAGAAAGGAGAUUUUCAUUUUAAGUUAUGUUGUCAAAAGUCAGGUGCAGUGUCUUUAGGGCAGUAAAUCUUGUAAGUUCAAAUUUAUGAUUAGGUGACAAGUUGACAUUGAGAUUGUCCUUUCCCUGAUCAAAAAUGAAUAAAGGCUUUUUUUAAACAAAA